GUGAGUAACGCGUGGGAACGUACCUUUUGGUUCGGAACAACACAGGGAAACUUGUGCUAAUACCGGAUAAGCCCUUACGGGGAAAGAUUUAUCGCCGAAAGAUCGGCCCGCGUCUGAUUAGCUAGUUGGUGAGGUAACGGCUCACCAAGGCGACGAUCAGUAGCUGGUCUGAGAGGAUGAUCAGCCACAUUGGGACUGAGACACGGCCCAAACUCCUACGGGAGGCAGCAGUGGGGAAUAUUGGACAAUGGGCGCAAGCCUGAUCCAGCCAUGCCGCGUGAGUGAUGAAGGCCCUAGGGUUGUAAAGCUCUUUUGUGCGGGAAGAUAAUGACGGUACCGCAAGAAUAAGCCCCGGCUAACUUCGUGCCAGCAGCCGCGGUAAUACGAAGGGGGCUAGCGUUGCUCGGAAUCACUGGGCGUAAAGGGUGCGUAGGCGGGUCUUUAAGUCAGGGGUGAAAUCCUGGAGCUCAACUCCAGAACUGCCUUUGAUACUGAAGAUCUUGAGUUCGGGAGAGGUGAGUGGAACUGCGAGUGUAGAGGUGAAAUUCGUAGAUAUUCGCAAGAACACCAGUGGCGAAGGCGGCUCACUGGCCCGGUACUGACGCUGAGGCACGAAAGCGUGGGGAGCAAACAGGAUUAGAUACCCUGGUAGUCCACGCCGUAAAC
rnacentral:rRNA from 1 species